CAGGCUGGAGGCGCGCCGGCGUGAUUCCGACCGCGGGAGCCUGGAGGAGGAGCCCGAGGUAGCUGCGGGGUGCUCCAGCCCAGGCGAAGGAAGGGCAAGAGGCGGUUCGGACCCGGGGCGGCGCCGGGAGACAUCCUCAUCAUCCGGCGGAACAGCUACGAACCGCCAAGCUGACCCCCUCUCAUCCCUUGGCCAGAGAAGGGGGUGCCUCAAGACCCAGGGAUGGGCGGGAAGGGACCGUGGGGAGCCACAAGUCUGCACCCAGGCGGGGAGAAGGCGGGCGGGAGCCGCUCCGCAGGCGCAGGUGUGUGCAUCCCAGGCAGGGUCGGCAGCCUGCCAGCACCUUCCCCAUACCACCCAGGGCAUAAGGGCGGAGGCGGAGGGCAGGGGACUGCGGAGUCGUCCCCGGAGCGGGACGCGAACCGGCAGAGUUGGGAGAAGCGCC
rnacentral:lncRNA from 1 species